CUUUAGUGCCUUCGGGAACUCUGAGACAGGUGCUGCAUGGCUGUCGUCAGCUCGUGUUGUGAAAUGUUGGGUUAAGUCCCGNAACGAGCGCAACCCUUAUCCUUUGUUGCCAGCACGUAAUGGUGGGAACUCAAAGGAGACUGCCGGUGAUAAACCGGAGGAAGGUGGGGAUGACGUCAAGUCAUCAUGGCCCUUACGAGUAGGGCUACACACGUGCUACAAUGGCGCAUACAAAGAGAAGCGACCUCGCGAGAGCAAGCGGACCUCAUAAAGUGCGUCGUAGUCCGGAUUGGAGUCUGCAACUCGACUCCAUGAAGUCGGAAUCGCUAGUAAUCGUAAAUCAGAAUGUUACGGUGAAUACGUUCCCGGGCCUUGUACACACCGCCCGUCACACCAUGGGAGUGGGUUGCAAAAGAAGUAGAUAGCUUAACCUUCGGGAGGGCGUUUACCACUUUGUGAUUCAUGACUGGGGUGAAGUCGUAACAAGGUAAGCGUAGUGCU
rnacentral:rRNA from 1 species